GGGUGUGUAGCUCAAUGGAAGAGCAUCUGCUUUGCAUGCAGAAGGUCCCAGGUUCAAUCCCUGGCAUUUCCA